rnacentral:rRNA from 1 species
GACGAACGCUGGCGGCGUUCUUAACACAUGCACGUCGAACGGAAAGGCCCUUCUUUUUUUGGUUGCUCGAGUGGCGAACGGGUGAGUAACCCGUGCGUAACCUGCCCUUGACUUUGGGAUAACUUCAGGAAACUGGGGCUACUACCGGAUCGGAGCUCCUGGUGCAUGGUGGGUGUUGGAAAGUUUCGGCGGUUGGGGAUGGACUCGCGGCUUAUCAGCUUGUUGGUGGGGUAGUGGCUUACCAAGGCUUUGACGGGUAGCCGGCCUGAGAGGGUGACCGGCCACAUUGGGACUGAGAUACGGCCCAGACUCCUACGGGAGGCAGCAGUGGGGAAUAUUGCACAAUGGGCGGAAGCCUGAUGCAGCAACGCCGCGUGCGGGAUGACGGCCUUCGGGUUGUAACCCGCUUUCGCCUGUGACGAAGCGUGAGUGACGGUAAUGGGUAAAGAAGCACCGGAUAACUACGUG